AGGCGGCCAUGGCGGCAGGCGCCGGGGCCAGGUCCGCGCCGCGCUGGCUGAGGGCGCUGAGCGAGCCGCUGAGCGCGGCGCAGCUGCGGCGACUGGAGGAGCACCGCUACAGCGCGGCGGGCGUCUCGCUGCUCGAGCCGCCGCUGCAGCUCUACUGGACCUGGCUGCUCCAGUGGAUCCCGCUCUGGAUGGCCCCCAACUCCAUCACCCUGCUGGGGCUCGCCGUCAACGUGGUCACCACGCUCGUGCUCAUCUCCUACUGUCCCACGGCCACCGAGGAGGCACCAUACUGGACAUACCUUUUAUGUGCACUGGGACUUUUUAUUUACCAAUCACUGGAUGCCAUUGAUGGGAAACAAGCCAGAAGAACAAACUCUUGUUCUCCUUUAGGGGAGCUCUUUGACCAUGGUUGUGACUCUCUUUCCACAGGUAAAUUAGUGGAGUUUUUUUUUUAAUGAUACCUUAAAAAUAAA
rnacentral:sRNA from 1 species